rnacentral:lncRNA from 1 species
CGAGAAUCGAAUCAUACCCGUCGGUUCUUGAUUCAAAUACCCGUUCGGGUAUUUAAUUUAAGAAGAACCGUCGGGUUCGGUUCUGUUCGGUUCGGGUUCGGUCGGUUCGGUUCGGGAGUUUUGUCCAGCCCUAAUAAGAAUCUAUAGUGGGAACUGGAGAAAGAGCUAAGUUUGGUGUAAUAGAUGUUGGAGGAUGCUGAGAUGGGAUGCUGUUGUUGAGGAAGAGAAGUGAGUGAUUGUUGAUCGUGGGAAUCUGUGGUGGAAUACUAUGGAAGGGAAAGACAGAAUCAUGAAAAAUCACAUUCCUUCAUAUGAUGCAGGUUUGAGUGGUCCGGUUGAAGAAUUUGUAGGCUUUCAUUCCACUGGGGUAGACAAGAAAAAUACAAGCAUCAGCUCUAGGGUAAAGUUUUGUCCUGUUUCGUUUGAGCGUGGAUGCAUAAAAUAAGCCUCCAAACACCCUUAAGUCAGAGUAGGUUGGCUUUGUUUUUAGAAGGAGCUCGUAAAGGGUCUUUUUAGAGAGUUUAGGGGAAGGAAUUCUAUUUAUAAUAUAUGUGGCUAUAAGGAUAGAGUCACCCCAAAAUUCAUUUGGAAGAUUGGCUUGAAACAUUAAAGAUCUAGCCACAUUAAGGUGUUGGUGUUUUCGUUCAAUCAUCCCAUUUUGUUGAGGGGUUUCUACACAGUUGAGUUGGUGAAUGAUGCCUUUGGAUCGGUAAAAAUCUGUUAUGUGGAACUCUGGUCCAUUGUCUUACCGAAUUUGUUUUAUUUUGGUGUCAAAUUGGGUAAGAACCAGAUUAUAAAAGGUUGUGAUGAUGGUCCUGGUUUGAGAUUUGUUGUUAAUGAGAAAUGUCCAUAUAGUUCAUCUACAAUAGUGACAAAAUACUUGAAAACAUCAGUGGAAGGAAGGUUAGUGAAAGGGUCCCCAUAUAUCGACAUGAAUCAAUUCAAAGAUGGUAUUUGAUACAUGUGUGCUAGUAGAAAAAGGUAAAACAUGUUUAACGAGUUGACAGAUUGUACAAUGAAAUUUUGUUUCACUAAGUACUUCUGGUACAGUUUUAUUGAUAAUAGAAAUUUUAGAGCUAGAAAUAUUACCUAAUCUACUAUGCCAUAGGUCGUCGGAGUGAUUGUAGACAGCAUUAACAGUAGAAUUAGGUGUACUGGAUAGUGUAGUUUGAUGUUGUUGAGAUGGUUGAAGUUGUAAAUGGUAAAGGCCAUCGUCAAUUUUCCCUAUCGUCUUCCAAGACAAAAGUUCCUGAAUAAAGGAAUAAGCAAAUAUGAAAGUUAGGCAACAAUGAUGAAUGGAAACCAAUUUGCUGGUAGAGAUAAGAUUAAACUUAAAGCAUGGAGCACAUAGAACGUUUAUUAAAGUAUGAUCACUUGACAACCGAACUGUUCCUAUGUGUGUAUUGUGUAACUGCGGCAACAUGGCCAUUAGGUAAUUUGACACUCCCAUUAAUAGUAGCUGUGAUGGUUGCGAGUUGCUGGACAGAACAAACAAUGUGAUCUGUUGCCCCAAUAUCAAUUAUCUAGGUGUUCUUUUUGUAUGUGUAAACAGAACAUACUAAGCUACUACCUGAAAAAGUUGAUGCAGAAAGAAGGCAUUGUUGGAGACUGUGUUGGUGUAACCUGUAAUCCCUAACAUGAUUCACAGAGGCAGUGGUGAUUGAAGCGGCAACAGAUGUAGGUAUGAAAGCUUCGAUCUGAGGCCUUAGCAUGGUAAUGACCUGUUGACAUUGAUCAAGAGUUAUGGUAACAUUGCUGGGACUGUUUAGUAUCUCAGAACUGUUUGAUGCAACAACUUGAUGUGCAAAUGCAUUUUCAGGGAACUUCUUAGCUAGACGAUGUCCUGGAGGAUAUCCAUGGAGUUUAUAGCAUUUAUCCUUCUUGUGACCAGUGAGGACGCAAUAACUGCAGUAGGCCUGUCCUUCAUUUGUCUAGAGUUGUUGCUGCUUGUGUUCUUAUUGAGCUAUUGCUGGUCGAAAACACUAUGACUGGCAAAAGCAGCAGAUUCCACAUUCUGAUGUAGAGAUGUCACUUGUCUUUUCUUUUCUUCCUGGGAAACUAGGCAAAGAUGCGAUCUAGAGAAGGAAUUGGAUCCAUGAGAAGGAUUUGGCUUCUGACAGCAGUGUAAGAAUAUCCAAUCCCAUCAUGAAUUCUAUAACCUGAUCAUAAGAGUGAUAGGGAUUGUGAUGCUGUGGCCUGUAGUGAGCUAAUUCCUCCCAAAGCCCCUUCAAGCUCUUGAAGUAAGAGCUAAGAGAUCCAUUGUUUUGUAUGAUCGAAGAAAUAAAUUUCCGCCGCUGAUAAAUUAGAGUGUCAUUGCUUUGAUUGUAUCUAUCCUAAAGCUCAAGCCAGAUUUCCCAUGCUAAGUCUUUAUGAAUAACAUUGGGAUAAAGUUCCUUGGGGAUCAAAUUGAUUAUCCACGCAAACACCACAUGAUCACAUCUUCUCCAUGGAACAUAUAAUAGAUUAUUGAGAUUUGGCUUAGAGAUUGAGUCAUCGAUGAACCUUCUUUAUUCUCACUCAAGGCGAUAGUGACUGCUCUGCUCCAAGUGGAGUAGUUCUCAUCAGAGAGGUUGACAAAAAUGAGUUGUGUAUCAGUACUCUCGCCAUAGUGAAGGUCGUGUGGAUUGCUAGGAUCGUCCAUGACUCGGAAAUUGGUCUGAGCAUGAAUGGCAGGACCACCAGGAGGAUUCUCUAGUGAAAUUGAUGAUUGCGAGCAGGAGGUUGGACCCUGAACAUCUCCUCCUGAAAUCGCAGAGUCUGUGUGGACCUCAGAAGUAGCAUGAUGAUUAGCAUCCAUGAUCGGAAGCUAGAUAUAGCUCUGAUACCAUAACAAAUUUUAGAAGAUGAAGAAUGAGCAAGAACGUGAUAGUGAAUAUUCUCACUUGCAUUAUUGAUCAAUUCUUUACAAGUAUAUGUAGAAUUGGGUUCUCAACUAACUAACCAAAUGAAAAGCUGUACAAUUCAAACAGGAAAACAAAAUGCUAACUAACUGCCAUGUCACCAAUUAUCUAACAGAAAAAGGAAUUAAAACUAUCUACAAUAAAAUAUUUAUGAUGUGGCGUUCUGAAGUUUACAAUUUAAGAGCGGUGAAAUUUGAAAUUUAAUGGAGAAAUUGAAUUUCAUACGAAAGUAUGAAAUUGAGGGUAUUGAGAAAAU